GAUGAAGAACGUAGUGAAAUGCGAUAAGUAAUGUGAAUUGCAGAAUUCAGUGAAUCAUCGAAUCUUUGAACGCACAUUGCGCCCGCCAGUAUUCUGGCGGGCAUGCCUGUUCGAGCGUCAUUUCAACCAUCAAGCCCCAGGCUUGUGUUGGAGCCCUGCGGCUGCCGCAGCCUCCCAAAACCAGUGGCGGGCUCGCUAUCACACCGAGUGCAGUAGCUUACUCUUCGCUCAGGGCGUGUGGCGGGUGCUAGCCGUAAAACCCCCAACUUCUCAAGGUUGACCUCGGAUCAGGUAGGAAUACCCGCUGAACUUAAGCAUAUCAAUAAGCGGAGGA
rnacentral:misc_RNA from 1 species